rnacentral:rRNA from 1 species
CCUACGGGUGGCAGCAGUGAGGAAUAUUGGUCAAUGGGCGGGAGCCUGAACCAGCCAAGCCGCGUGAAGGAAGAAGGCGCUAGGCGUUGUAAACUUCUUUUGUCGGGGAACAAAGGGCGCCACGCGUGGCGUUGUGAGUGUACCCGAAGAAAAAGCACCGGCUAACUCCGUGCCAGAAGCCGCGGAAAGACGGAGGAUGCGAGAGUGAUCCGGAUGUAUUGGGUUUAAAGGGUGCGUAGGCGGUUCGGAAAGUCAGCGGUAAAAGCCCGGGGCUCAACCCCGGCGAGCCGUUGAAACUGGCGAACUAGAGUCGGCGAGAGGUACGCGGAAUGCGCGGUGUAGCGGUGAAAUGCAUAGAUAUCACGCAGAACUCCGAUUGCGAAGGCAGCAUACCGGCGCCGGACUGACGCUGAGGCACGAAAGCGUGGGUAUCGAACAGGAUUAGAUACCCCUGUAGUC